rnacentral:rRNA from 1 species
AUACGUAGGGGGCGAGCGUUGUCCGGAAUGAUUGGGCGUAAAGGGCGCGUAGGCGGCCUGUUAAGUCUGGAGUGAAAGUCCUGUUUUCAAGAUGGGAAUUGCUUUGGAUACUGAUGGGCUUGAGUGCAGGAGAGGUUAUCGGAAUUCCCGGUGUAGCGGUGAAAUGCGUAGAGAUCGGGAGGAACACCAGUGGCGAAGGCGGGUAACUGGACUGCAACUGACGCUGAGGCGCGAAAGUGUGGGGAGCAAACAGGAUUAGAUACCCUGGUAGUCCACACUGUAAACGAUGAAUGCUAGGUGUAGGAGGUAUCGACCCCUUCUGUGCCGCAGUAAACACAGUAAGCAUUCCGCCUGGGGAGUACGGUCGCAAGAUUAAAACUCAAAUGAAUUGACGGGG